UUUUUCAUCUUAUCUAUAUUUUCUUUUUCUACAUAAACAAUCAUGAUUUGUGUAGUGAAAUAUAUUUAAAGCAAAAAGUGUCAGGAGGGCUGCUUUUUAGUCAAUAUCUCAUAUUGACCUUGGUGGCCCCGAAAAGGACUAGACUGUCCUUUUUGAGGGCAGCCCCAUGCUUCUUGGGUGCCUCUCUUUAUCCCAGGGCACAAUGAGCCCCAGAGAGUAGCUCAAUGAGUUGCAUUUCUCUACAAGCCUACAGUGUUUACCCCGAUGUGAAGAGAACAGCUCCACUCACUAAACAAAAGCAUUUCUUCUGGUCACAUAUUUUAUUUCCCUUUCUCCCUUUUAGCUCCUCCCACAAUAGGUGUGGCAUCUGUGUUGGGAAAAGUUCACACUCUAAAUACAAGUGAAGGCAAAAUGAUUUUACAUUGCAGGCCAACUCAAUCAACAAGCAUGUUUAUUAGUAUCAUUUCUAAGUAGUCUUCAAGGAUAAUUCAAGACCUGCUGGGUGCAGUGGUUUAUGCCUGUAAUCCCAGCACUUUGGGAAGCCAAGGCAGUGGAUAACCUGAGGUCAGCAGUUUGAGACUAAUCAUGGACAACAUGGUGAAACCCCAGCUCUACUAAAAAUACAACAUUAGCUAGAUGCGGUGGUGCAUACCUGUAAUCCCAACUACUUGGGAGGCUGAGACAGGAAAAUCGCUUGAUUCUGGGAGGUGGAGGAGGUUGCAGUGAGCCGAGAUCACACCACUGCACUCCAGCCUGGACGACGAGCAAAACUCUGUCUUAAAAUAAAAAAAGAAGAAUUCAAGACCAAAGUGAUUGCUCCUCACUGUCCUAGUGGUUAAUUUGGGUAGUGUUUUAUACAUUUUCAGUACAAUAACAUCUCUAUUACUUGAUUUGCCUCUGGGACCAAGCUCUGGCAUGCAGAAAACAGGUAUAACUGUGCCCUCCAGAGCAUUCGUGAAAAAUGUAUGACUUUUCCAAUAUCUGAAAUGUCAAGAUAUUGAAAAGUUUCCCCCUUAAGCACCAAAAAUUUAUUUAUGAGAAACAUUUGUAAGGAAAUUUUCCUAAAAUAACGUUCUGUAAAGCCCUACCUUGUCGAGUGCAAUCAUUUGAAAUUCCCUCGGAAAGCCUUUGUCAGUUAUCAAUUGUCAUACUAGGCUCCUAAACAGAUGGCUUUGUAAAUACUGCCACAUGUAAACCCAUUUGCCCUACUACUAAAUGGUUCCCAUUGCUUUGGAAGAUCUUGCUUCCGCCCUACAGUUUUUCUUUCCAUUUCCUUCCUCUCUCUCUGCUUUUAAUGUUUCUAUCGGCAAUCAGUGUGCCUAUCUCUAGCAGCUGAACUUCCUGCUCAUCAAUUGUUUGUCAUCUAUGAUAGACUCGGAAGCCAGAAAACCAAGUGUAGUCUCAACAUGUAAACCAAGAAAACAUAGGUUCCAGGAGGAGCUCUAAGGGGCUUUUCUCUGAGUAAAGGGGAUAGACUGACAGGCGGUCAUUUCUUCUGCUCAUUCACAGGUCUAUUGAUUUUCAUCUGGUUUUCACACCGAUGAGAUUUUAUUGCACUAGCUCCAUUUUACGGAUGGGUACAUGGAUGCCAAUGAGACAAGAUGACUUGGUCAAGGCCACAUGGCAGUGGGUGUCUUCCUCCAUCCAUGGCCCUGUCAGUUUCAGCCUGGAUAAGCCAAGUGGUGGUAGUGUGGCUGGAGCAGAGCUCACCAGCACCUCUCCUGGAUUUUUCUUCAGAAGAGCGGGUCUGCUGUGGCCUCUCUGGGAGGUUUACACAACUCCACGACAUACCUGGAUCCCUUCUGCUAAUGCAGUAGGCCCCUUCAUUGCCAGAAAUUAGAGCUUGGCAAACAGCUGUGUUUACAUUCAGAGCCCUAGUUUAUUGCUGCUGGGUCCUGGAAGGGAUUGUUUAAGCUUAUCUUCUCUAGAUAGCAACUGUGCUGAGGGUUGCACAACUCUGACCCAGAUUGAAAUCAGCUGCAAAACACCUCAUCCUAAACACAGGCAUAUACUUCUCAGGAGACUCAAGCCACUGCAACUCACUGACACAUUCUCUCCUCAACAGGCCAACUCCCUUCCAUAAUGCUGGGACCUGGGCCAAGGUACCUGUGUUCUGUUCCGGCUCCCAGACUUGCAACUUCCUGCACAGCACGUUGUCACUCUGGUUUUAUUUUUGUCAGCUCUUCCUCUGAACCAGGGCUCACCCCAGAGAAGCAGACUCAAGGGGGGCAGAAACAGCUCUGGAGUUAUUGGGACUGGCCCCUGGGGUGAUGCCGAAGCAUCAAUUCUGCCUCAGCCUGGGGCAGCUGGAGUGUCAGCCUGCACGUUCUGCCUGGGAUCCAGCAGGAUGGCUUUCCCUGGAGAGCUUCAGCUUCCUGCCAUUCUUGGGAGGCCUCUGCAGAUUGCCACAGUUCACCUCCUGUCAAAUUCACAGCAAACUCAAGUGUGAGCUGCAAGUGCUGAGGGCUGCUUAUGGCAGUUCAUUUUCCUGAGCAACUCCACACAGACCUAGCAAAUGACAGGCAGGCAUCUGCCAGGCUAAAACAGGAAGCAAAACUGCAUGGACAGCCUCAGACAGGCUCUUGUACAAAAAAUAGAAAUCUUAUUAGUUCCUUUAGCCUUUCGCCGAACAUUUAUGGACAACCACCUACCUACAAUAUGCCUGAUGCAGGGGCAAGGUUUUUGCCUUUCAGAAGGCCACAGUCCAGUGGGCAACUGAUGUCAAAACAAAGAGCUGAGCUUGGGAGAGCAGCAUGAUAACAGACAGGCAUAUCACUGCCGGAAUGGAGGAAGAGGCUCUUCACUCUGCCCUGGCCUGGGGAAAACUUCUCAUAGGAAGCUUACUUUACCUAAGUCUGAAGGAUCUGUUAGACAUCAAUAAGUAAAAAUAAUAUCAAUAGAAAUUAAAGCAUUGUUAUUAUCUUCAGAUACUUGCAAUAUGUCAAGCAUCCUACUAAGUACUUUACAAACAUUAUUUCAUUUAAUUUGAACAACAGCCCUAAUUCAACAGGUACUAUCUAUAUCCCCAUUUUACAGGUGAGGAAGCUGAGGGUCAGAGAAUGUGAAAUAACUUGCUCAAAACUAGGAAAUAGGAUAGCAAGUAGUCAAACCAAGUUCUGCUAAUUCCAGAGCCCAGGCUUUUGUGCUUUUUAAUAUGUUCAAAAAUUACAAUAAUAUGAGCAGGUAUAUGUCUUGUUCCCCUCCUGGCAUCUCCUGCUGGCCUCUGUAUAUCCCAUAUACACCAACUGCUAUGCACCAACUGCCUACUGCCUUAGAGAUGUAAACAGUUACAUUUGUUUUUUUUUUAAUGUAUUCUUCAGUGUUUAUGUUAAUAUAAAUGAAUCUGAAUAAAUACUCUUAUUCCCUCUUUCUUAUCCAAAAGUGGCAUAUAUUAACACGGAUUUGUACUUAAUGCAGUCUCAGAGAGCUUUCUAUUAAAGUAUAUAGCAGUCUUCCUCA